GAUGAACGCUGGCGGCGUGCCUAACACAUGCAAGCCGAGCGAUUCUCUUCGGAGAGGAGCGGCGGACGGGUGAGUAACGCGUGGGUAACCUGCCCUGUACACACGGAUAACAUACCGAAAGGUAUGCUAAUACGAGAUAAUAUGCUUUUAUCGCAUGGUAGAAGUAUCAAAGCUCCGGCGGUACAGGAUGGACCCGCGUCUGAUUAGCUAGUUGGUAAGGUAACGGCUUACCAAGGCGACGAUCAGUAGCCGACCUGAGAGGGUGAUCGGCCACAUUGGAACUGAGACACGGUCCAAACUCCUACGGGAGGCAGCAGUGGGGAAUAUUGCACAAUGGGCGAAAGCCUGAUGCAGCAACGCCGCGUGAGCGAUGAAGGCCUUCGGGUCGUAAAGCUCUGUCCUCAAGGAAGAUAAUGACGGUACUUGAGGAGGAAGCCCCGGCUAACUACGUGCCAGCCGCCGCAGUAA
rnacentral:rRNA from 1 species